rnacentral:rRNA from 1 species
UACGUAGGGGGCUAGCGUUGUCCGGAAUCAUUGGGCGUAAAGAGCGUGUAGGCGGUCCGGUAAGUCCGCUGUGAAAGUCGGGGGCUCAACCCUCGAAUGCCGGUGGAUACUGUCGGGCUAGAGUGCGGAGGAGGCGAGUGGAAUUCCUGGUGUAGCGGUGAAAUGCGCAGAUAUCAGGAGGAACACCUGAGGCGAAGGCGGGUUGCUAGGCUGACACUGACGCUGAGGCGCGAAAGCCAGGGGAGCAAACGGG